rnacentral:tRNA from 1 species
GCCCGCAUAGCUCAGUCGGCAGAGCAUCAGACUUUUAAUCUGAGGGUCGUGGGUUCAAGUCCCCCUGCGGGCG